rnacentral:rRNA from 1 species
GCAUAUCAAUAAGCGGAGGAAAAGAAACCAACAGGGAUUGCCCUAGUAACGGCGAGUGAAGCGGCAACAGCUCAAAUUUGAAAUCUGGCUUCGGCCCGAGUUGUAAUUUGUAGAGGAAGCUUUAGGCGCGGCACCUUCUGAGUCCCCUGGAACGGGGCGCCAUAGAGGGUGAGAGCCCCGUAUAGUUGGAUGCCUAGCCUGUGUAAAGCUCCUUCGACGAGUCGAGUAGUUUGGGAAUGCUGCUCAAAAUGGGAGGUAAAUUUCUUCUAAAGCUAAAUACCGGCCAGAGACCGAUAGCGCACAAGUAGAGUGAUCGAAAGAUGAAAAGCACUUUGAAAAGAGGGUUAAAUAGCACGUGAAAUUGUUGAAAGGGAAGCGCUUGUGACCAGACUUGCGCCGGGCGGAUCAUCCGGUGUUCUCACCGGUGCACUCCGCCCGGCUCAGGCCAGCAUCGGUUCUCGCGGGGGGAUAAAGGUCCUGGGAACGUAGCUCCUCCGGGAGUGUUAUAGCCCAGGGCGUAAUGCCCUCGCGGGGACCGAGGUUCGCGCAUCUGCAAGGAUGCUGGCGUAAUGGUCAUCAGCGACCCGUCUUGAAACACGGACCAAGGAGUCAAGGUUUUGCGCGAGUGUUUGGGUGUAAAACCCGCACGCGUAAUGAAAGUGAACGUAGGUGAGAGCUUCGGCGCAUCAUCGACCGAUCCUGAUGUAUUCGGAUGGAUUUGAGUAAGAGCGUUAAGCCUUGGACCCGAAAGAUGGUGAACUAUGCUUGGAUAGGGUGAAGCCAGAGGAAACUCUGGUGGAGGCUCGCAGCGGUUCUGACGUGCAAAUCGAUCGUCAAAUCUGAGCAUGGGGGCGAAAGACUAAUCGAACCAUCUAGUAGCUGGUUACCGCCGAAGU